CAAGUCGAGGGGCAGCAUGGUCAUUAGCUGGCUAMKGCCGAAGGCGACCGGCGCACGGGUGAGUAACGCGUAUCCAACCUGCCUUACACUCUUGGACAGCCUUCUGAAAGGGAGAUUAAUACAAGAUGUUAUCAUGAGUAAGCAUUUUCGCAUGAUUAAAGGUUUACCGGUGUAAGAUGGGGAUGCGUUCCAUUAGAUAGUAGGCGGGGUAACGGCCCACCUAGUCUUCGAUGGAUAGGGGUUCUGAGAGGAAGGUCCCCCACAUUGGAACUGAGACACGGUCCAAACUCCUACGGGAGGCAGCAGUGAGGAAUAUUGGUCAAUGGACGAGAGUCUGAACCAGCCAAGUAGCGUGAAGGAUGAAGGUUCUAUGGAUUGUAAACUUCUUUUAUACGGGAAUAAACGGAUCCACGUGUGGAUUUUUGCAUGUACCGUAUGAAUAAGGAUCGGCUAACUCCGUGCCAGCAGCCGCGGUAAUACGGAGGAUCCGAGCGUUAUCC
rnacentral:rRNA from 1 species